GAACGCUGGCGGCGUGCCUAAUACAUGCAAGUCGAACGAGUUCUCGUUGAUGAUCGGUGCUUGCACCGAGAUUCAACAUGGAACGAGUGGCGGACGGGUGAGUAACACGUGGGUAACCUGCCCUUAAGUGGGGGAUAACAUUUGGAAACAGAUGCUAAUACCGCAUAGAUCCAAGAACCGCAUGGUUCUUGGCUGAAAGAUGGCGUAAGCUAUCGCUUUUGGAUGGACCCGCGGCGUAUUAGCUAGUUGGUGAGGUAAUGGCUCACCAAGGCGAUGAUACGUAGCCGAACUGAGAGGUUGAUCGGCCACAUUGGGACUGAGACACGGCCCAAACUCCUACGGGAGGCAGCAGUAGGGAAUCUUCCACAAUGGACGCAAGUCUGAUGGAGCAACGCCGCGUGAGUGAAGAAGGCUUUCGGGUCGUAAAACUCUGUUGUUGGAGAAGAAUGGUCGGCAGAGUAACUGUUGUCGGCGUGACGGUAUCCAACCAGAAAGCCACGGCUAACUACGUGCCAGCAGCCGCGGUAAUACGUAGGUGGCAAGCGUUAUCCGGAUUUAUUGGGCGUAAAGCGAGCGCAGGCGGUUUUUUAAGUCUGAUGUGAAAGCCCUCGGCUUAACCGAGGAAGCGCAUCGGAAACUGGGAAACUUGAGUGCAGAAGAGGACAGUGGAACUCCAUGUGUAGCGGUGAAAUGCGUAGAUAUAUGGAAGAACACCAGUGGCGAAGGCGGCUGUCUGGUCUGUAACUGACGCUGAGGCUCGAAAGCAUGGGUAGCGAACAGGAUUAGAUACCCUGGUAGUCCAUGCCGUAAACGAUGAAUGCUAGGUGUUGGAGGGUUUCCGCCCUUCAGUGCCGCAGCUAACGCAUUAAGCAUUCCGCCUGGGGAGUACGACCGCAAGGUUGAAACUCAAAGGAAUUGACGGGGGCCCGCACAAGCGGUGGAGCAUGUGGUUUAAUUCGAAGCAACGCGAAGAACCUUACCAGGUCUUGACAUCUUUUGAUCACCUGAGAGAUCAGGUUUCCCCUUCGGGGGCAAAAUGACAGGUGGUGCAUGGUUGUCGUCAGCUCGUGUCGUGAGAUGUUGGGUUAAGUCCCGCAACGAGCGCAACCCUUAUGACUAGUUGCCAGCAUUUAGUUGGGCACUCUAGUAAGACUGCCGGUGACAAACCGGAGGAAGGUGGGGAUGACGUCAAAUCAUCAUGCCCCUUAUGACCUGGGCUACACACGUGCUACAAUGGAUGGUACAACGAGUUGCGAGACCGCGAGGUCAAGCUAAUCUCUUAAAGCCAUUCUCAGUUCGGACUGUAGGCUGCAACUCGCCUACACGAAGUCGGAAUCGCUAGUAAUCGCGGAUCAGCACGCCGCGGUGAAUACGUUCCCGGGCCUUGUACACACCGCCCGUCACACCAUGAGAGUUUGUAACACCCGAAGCCGGUGGCGUAACCCUUUUAGGGAGCGAGCCGUCUAAGGUGGGACAAAUGAUUAGGGU
rnacentral:rRNA from 2 species